rnacentral:rRNA from 1 species
GAUGAACGCUGGCGGCGUGCCUAAUACAUGCAAGUCGAGCGAACGGACGAGAAGCUUGCUUCUCUGAUGUUAGCGGCGGACGGGUGAGUAACACGUGGAUAACCUACCUAUAAGACUGGGAUAACUUCGGGAAACCGGAGCUAAUACCGGAUAAUAUUUUGAACCGCAUGGUUCAAAAGUGAAAGACGGUCUUGCUGUCACUUAUAGAUGGAUCCGCGCUGCAUUAGCUAGUUGGUAAGGUAACGGCUUACCAAGGCAACGAUGCAUAGCCGACCUGAGAGGGUGAUCGGCCACACUGGAACUGAGACACGGUCCAGACUCCUACGGGAGGCAGCAGUAGGGAAUCUUCCGCAGUGGGCGAAAGCCUGACGGAGCAACGCCGCGUGAGUGGUGAAGGUCUUCGGAUCGUAAAACUCUGUUAUUAGGGAAGAACAUAUGUGUAAGUAACUGUGCACAUCUUGACGGUACCUAAUCAGAAAGCCACGGCUAACCACGUGCCAGCAGCCGCGGUAAUACGUAGGUGGCAAGCGUUAUCCGGAAUUAUUGGGCGUAAAGCGCGCGUAGGCGGUUUUUUAAGUCUGAUGUGAAAGCCCACGGCUCAACCGUGGAGGGUCAUUGGAAACUGGAAAACUUGAGUGCAGAAGAGGAAAGUGGAAUUCCAUGUGUAGCGGUGAAAUGCGCAGAGAUAUGGAGGAACACCAGUGGCGAAGGCGACUUUCUGGUCUGUAACUGACGCUGAUGUGCGAAAGCGUGGGGAUCAAACAGGAUUAGAUACCCUGGUAGUCCACGCCGUAAACGAUGAGUGCUAAGUGUUAGGGGGUUUCCGCCCCUUAGUGCUGCAGCUAACGCAUUAAGCACUCCGCCUGGGGAGUACGACCGCAAGGUUGAAACUCAAAGGAAUUGACGGGGACCCGCACAAGCGGUGGAGCAUGUGGUUUAAUUCGAAGCAACGCGAAGAACCUUAUCAAAUCUUGACAUCCUUUGACAACUCUAGAGAUAGAGCCUUCCCCUUCGGGGGACAAAGUGACAGGUGGUGCAUGGUUGUCGUCAGCUCGUGUCGUGAGAUGUUGGGUUAAGUCCCGCAACGAGCGCAACCCUUAAGCUUAGUUGCCAUCAUUAAGUUGGGCACUCUAAGUUGACUGCCGGUGACAAACCGGAGGAAGGUGGGGAUGACGUCAAAUCAUCAUGCCCCUUAUGAUUUGGGCUACACACGUGCUACAAUGGACAAUACAAAGGGCAGCGAAACCGCGAGGUCAAGCAAAUCCCAUAAAGUUGUUCUCAGUUCGGAUUGUAGUCUGCAACUCGACUACAUGAAGCUGGAAUCGCUAGUAAUCGUAGAUCAGCAUGCUACGGUGAAUACGUUCCCGGGUCU